ACUGUUCCCUGGGAUUGGCUUUGGGAUUUUCCUGCGCAGCUUAGGUGGAGGGCGAAGAAGGCCUCCUUCCGGGGGGGCUCGAGCCAUCAGUGAGAUACCACUCUGGAAGAGCUAGAAUUCUAACCUUGUGCCAGGAACUACGGGCCAAGGGACAGUUUCAGGUAGACAGUUUCUAUGGGGCGUAG
rnacentral:ncRNA from 1 species